AAUCAACGCUGGCGGCGUGCCUCAGACAUGCAAGUCGAACGAUUAAAGCUUCCUUCGGGAAGUGUAUAGAGUGGCGUACGGGUGAGUAACACGUAAGUAAUCUACCCUUGGGUGGGGAAGUAACUUAGGGAAACCUAAGCUAAUACCGCAUAAUGCAGCGGCUCCAUAUGGAGACAGUUGUUAAAGCAUUUAUGUGCCUAAGGAGGAGCUUGCGGCAGAUUAGCUAGUUGGUAAGGUAAUGGCUUACCAAGGCGACGAUCUGUAGCCGGUCUAAGAGGACGGUCGGUCACACUGACACUGAAUAACGGGUCAGACUCCUACGGGAGGCAGCAGUCGGGAA
rnacentral:rRNA from 1 species